rnacentral:misc_RNA from 1 species
GUUGAAGAACGCAGCGAAAUGCGAUACUUGGUGUGAAUUGCAGAAUCCCGUGAACCAUCGAGUCUUUGAACGCAAGUUGCGCCCGAAGCCAUUAGGCCGAGGGCACGCCUGCCUGGGCGUCACACGUCGUUGCCCCCCCAUCUACUCCUUCGGGAUUGCGGGGGGCGGAUGAUGGCCUCCCGUGCGCCUCGUCGCGCGGUUGGCAUAAAUGCCAAGUCCUCGGCGACGCACGCCACGACAAUCGGUGGUUGCGAAACCUCGGUUGCCCGUCGUGUGCGGUCGUCGCGCAUCGAGGGCUCGAAAAAAUUGCCGGGCUCCGGCUCGGCUUUCAACGCGACCCCAGGUCAGGCGGGGUUACCCGCUGAAUUUAAGCAUAUCAAUAAGCGGAGGA